GGAGUUGUAGUUCAAUGGUAGAACGAUACCCUUUUAAGGUAUGUGUUGCUGGUUCAAAUCCAUCCAACUUCA
rnacentral:tRNA from 1 species